CUUCAGAGCUGAUGUUUCACCAUUUUAAACAGACAGAACUGAUUAUUUACCAGACAGAAUAUGUUUAAAACUGUAAUAGAGUUGAUUAUAAAAGUUUAGGCAGGAAUUUAUGUGUACCUACUCGAUGGAAAAGCUGUAGGAUUUCUGUGAAUCGAAUCAGCGGUGGAGAUCAAACUUUUCAGAUCCAUCAUGAAUGACACACAAACAUCCAGAAAUGAAGAUUAUUUUCCAGAACACAGCUCAGUUCAUCAGAAGAGAUCAGAACCAGAACCCAGCUGUGUGUCUAUGAAGAGUGAUGCGUCUAUGAUUCAGCCAAUACAGUUUAAGAGUGGAGAUACACAGACUGGCCUCAGUCUAGUUCAUCAGAAGUCUAUGAAGAGUGAUGUGUCUAUUGAUCAGUCAGUACUUUUAAAGUUUGGAGAUACACAGCCUGAUCUCAGCCAUAAAGCCUGCAGCCUCAACACAUUUAGAUCAAACCUGAGGAUGAAGUUUCUGUGUCUGUAUGAAGGAACAGCAAAGCAGGGAAAUCCAACAUUCCUGAAUGAGAUCUACACAGAGCUCUACAUCACAGAGAGUCAAAGUGGAGAGAUCAAUAAAGAGCAUGAGGUGAGACAGAUUGAGACACAAUCCAGGAGAGGAGCAACAGAAGGCACACCAAUCAAAUGCAGUGACAUCUUUAGACCUUUACCUGGACAAGACAAACCCAUCAGAACUGUGCUGACAAAGGGAGUCGCUGGCAUUGGAAAAACAGUCUCUGUGCAGAAGUUCAUCCUGGACUGGGCUGAAGGGAAAGAGAAUCAGGACGUCCAGCUCAUAUUUCCACUUCCUUUCAGAGAGCUCAAUUUGAUGAAGGACAAAACACUCAGUCUUUCAGAUCUUCUUCAUAUCUUUUCCCCUGAAACAAAAGAAAUGGAAAUAUCCAGUGAUGAAUAUAAAGUGUUGUUCAUCUUUGAUGGUCUGGAUGAGUGUCGUCUGUCUCUGAACUUUAAGAGCGAAGUGAAACUGUGUAAUAUAUCUGAAUCAGCCUCAGUAGACGUGCUGCUGACGAACCUCAUUGCAGGGAAUCUGCUUCCCUCUGCUCUCAUCUGGAUCACCUCUAGACCAGCAGCAGCUGAUCUUGUCCCCUCUGAGUGUGUCCAUCGAGUGACAGAGGUACGAGGCUUCAAUGAGUCACAGAAGGAGGAAUAUUUCAGGAAGAGAAUCAGUGAUCAGAGUCUGGCUGACAGGAUCAUCUCACACCUGAAGUCAUCAAGGAGCCUCCACAUCAUGUGCCACAUCCCAGUGUUCUGCUGGAUCUCAGCCACUGUUCUAAAGAUGAUGAAUAAAGCAAAGAGAAGAAAGAUUCCCAAGACUCUCACUCAAAUGUACACAUACUUCAUGAUCAUUCAGAACAACAUCAAACAAGAGAAGGACUAUGAGAAAAACCUGACAGAUGAAGACAUGAUUCUCAAACUGGGGAAACUGGCUUUCCAGCAGCUUGUGAAAGGAAACCUGAUCUUCUACGAGGAAGACCUGAGAGAGUGUGGCAUUGAUGUGACAGAAGCAUCAGUGUACUCAGGAUUGUGCACUCAGAUCUUCAGAGAGGAGUUAGGCUUGUAUCAAGGGAAAGUCUUCUGCUUUGUUCAUCUGAGCAUUCAGGAACAUUUAGCAGCUCUGUAUGCACACCUCUCCUUUACAAUUGAGAAGAGAUAUGUGUUUAACCAAAACAAACAAAGUAUGAUGUCUACGAUUUUGUACUUGUUCCAAAGUAAUUCAUUAUCUGAGCUGCAUCAGAGAGCUGUGGAUGAGACUUUACAGAGUAAGAAUGGACAUCUGGACCUUUUCCUGCGUUUCCUUCUGGGUCUCUCAUUGGAGUCCAAUCAGACUCUUCUACGAGAACUACUGACACAGACAGGAAGCUGCUCUUACAACAAAGAGGAAACAGUUCAGUAUAUCAAACAGAAGAUCAGGGAGAAUCACUCCCCAGAAAGAUCCAUCAAUCUGUUCCACUGUCUGAAUGAACUGGGUGAUGAUUCACUGAUGCAGGAGAUCCAGCGUUAUCUGAAAUCUGGAAAAAUAGGACGAACCAAACUCUCCUCUUCACAGUGGUCAGCUCUGGUUUAUGUGUUGCUGACAUUACAACAGAAGAUCAAUUUUGAUCUAAAACAGUUUACUGGAGCACAAAUUACAGCAGAUGAAGUUCUCCAAAAUCUGAUGCCUGUGGUUAAAGAAUCCAGAUCAGCUCAGCUACAGUUAUGUAAUCUCACCACUCGUUCCUGUAAGAGUUUGUUUUCAGCUCUACAAUCCUCAAACUCUGUCCUGAGAGAGCUUGACCUGAGUAACAAUGACCUGAAGGAUUCUGGAGUGAAGCUUCUUUCUGAUGGACUGAAGAGUCUAAACUGUCAGUUGCAGAUACUGGGGUUGUCUGGCUGUAUGGUGACAGAGGAAGGAUGUGGUUAUGUGUCUUCAGCUUUGAGUUCAAACCCCUCACACCUGAGAGAGCUGGAUCUGAGCUACAAUCACCCAGGAGAUUCAGGAAUCAAGCAGCUCUCCAAUAAACUCAACCAUCCAAACUACAGACUGGACAAACUCAAUGUGGAUCAUGGAGGAGAGAUCAGGAUUACAGCAGGACUACACAAAUAUUCCCAUCGGCUCACUCUGGAUCUGAACACAGUGAAUAAACUCAUCCGUCUGUCUGAGAGGAACAGAGUGAUUACGGACACAUUCCCAGAGUUUCAGUCGUAUCCUGAUCAUCCAGACAGAUUUGACGAGUGUUGUCAGGUGUUGUGUAGAGAGAGUGUGUGUGAUCAACGCUGUUACUGGGAGAUUGAGUGGAGUGGAGAUUAUGCAUGUAUAUCAGUAUCAUAUAAGAGCAUCAGCAGGAAGGGACGGGGUCAUGAGUGUGUGUUUGGACGUAAUGAUCAGUCCUGGUGUUUGAUCUGCUCUUCCUCCAGAUACUCAUUCAGUCACAAUAACAAAGACACUGGUCUCCCUGUAGAGUCCAUCAGCAGCAGGAGAGUAGGAGUGUAUGUGGAUCACAGUGCAGGAACUCUGUCCUUCUACAGCGUCUCUGACACAAUGAGACUCAUCCACACACUCCAGACCACAUUCACUCAACCGCUCUAUCCUGGGUUUAGGGUUUAUGAUGGAUCAUCAGUGAAACUGUGUUGAUGAAUCAGAUCAGACUGUAGAGAGAUUCUACCCACAAUGCUUUGAGCUGAUGAUGAAUCAGUGACGCUGUAGAAAGGACAAUUCUAGAAACUCUAGAGAAAAUGGACCUGAAGAUCAACCACCUGACUUCACUGGUCCAGUCUCUAGUGGGAAACAGGCGCUUUUUACCCCCAGUGGCAGUGCAAAAUGAUGAAGAGGAUGGCAUCUUUCCUCUUGCAUCCACUGAGGAUCUAGACCGGCUGGAGCAAAGUCUGUCAGACAGAGGGUUUCUGCAGAGAAUGGUAAGAAAUGGAAUUGUCCACCUGCAACUACUAAUGAAAUGAAGUGUGUAUGUUUACAUGCUACUUGCCAAAAGUUUGAAAUGAAGAUUUUGAAAACAUCAACAGUUAACCCUUGAAGAUCUAGAGCAUUUUUGGGGCUCCUGACUUGCACUUUUCUUUGGUUUUCUAACCCAUUCUAGCAGUCAGCAUCAAGUGCCAUAUAUCAUUUUUAACAGGACAACUUGAAGUUUCAGUCUAGCUCAUUUAAAUUCCCAAUUUUACAUUUAUUUUGUCUGAGAAUGGAUCAAAUUUCCAGAAUUUCAAGAAAAAUGCCAGCAAAAAUGCGUUUUUCCACUGUAAACUCACAAAAACUCCUGAAGUUUGGAUUUUUUCCUUUAAAAAGUUAUAUUUGGAUGUUUUAGACUUCCAGAAGAAAUUGUCUACAUGUAACAAUCCAUCAGCAAGUUAUAGCCAUUAUUCUAGGCGUUUUUGAGUGAAAACGUGCAUUUUAUGUACUGACAAUGUAGAUGUGUCCAAAAAAGUUCAUGGAGUAAAAGUAAUAGAAAUACUGUUGUAAUGAUGGGUCAACAGUGUGUGGAUCCAUUAGCAGCUUUAUUAAACACAGCAGCAGUACAAACAAGGGCAGAGCAGUACCGUAGUCAGGGACAGGCAGGGGUCGAGGCUGGCAGCAGGAAUCAGAGACGGGUCACAGGCAGAGAUCAAGACAGGCGGCAAACAAUCACAGUCCAGGGUACAAGCAAAGUUCAGGGCAGGCGGCAGAGGGUCACAGAUAAUAAACAGUCCGGGUAAUAACAAGAUAGCAAUCCACAGAAUAACGCUCAGAAAUGACUACCGUAGCAAAUCAAGACUUCGCAAAGAUGUGGUGUGUGCGCGCGUGUCUUAAAUAGUGUGUGCGUGAUGUGGUGCAGGUGAAAGUGCGAUCAGUCCCAGGAAUGAGGGCCUAUGGGAAAUGGAGUCCGAAUGGCAGGGAGUCAAUAUUCCGGUGAUGGCUCCCUCCGGCGGUCCGGAGGAUGAGCCGUGGGAGCCAUAUUCACGACAACUGUUAUAUAAUAACAGAACACUGAAGCAAAAACUUUUUUCAGAGAAAUAUAUUAUCAUUUGAACAUGAACAACAACAAAAGCAAACAAUGUAACAAGUACUGACAACGGUCUUGUGCAAAAAAAUUCAAACCGUGCAACAAAACAUACUGAAUGUAAAUGAACAAAUGGUGCAAAUAAUCUUUUCAAAUACAAAUUGAGGGAAAUUUACUGAGUGCUAAUGGACAAAUGGUACAAAUAAUCUUCACAAACUACAUACAAAUAGAAAGAAAAAAACAAAACACUACACUGUGGCACCUUUUUUAAAAUAAAUAAAUAAAUAAAUUCAACAUAAAUAUACAUACAAAAUGUAAACAUUAGUGCUGUCAAAUUGAUUAAUGGUGAUUAAAUCGUGUGCUAAUGAACAAAUGGCUCAAACAAUCUUCACAAACUAAAUACAAAUAGAAAAAUAUACUGAGAGCAAAUGAACAGCUGGUUCAAGUAAUCUUCACAAACUGCAUACAAGUAGAGAACAAUACGGAGUGCAAAUGAACAAAUGGUUCAAAUAAUCUUCAAAAACUAAAUACAAAUAGAGAAAUAUACUGAGUGCAAAUGAACAAAUGGUUCCAGUAGUUUUCCUCAAACUAUAUAUUUACAAAAUAUAACAACCAAACUGCAUUGCAUAAAGACAGUCCUGAGAUUUUAUGUGCCACCUUGUGACCCCCUUCUGCUAUGCCGCUGACUGAAGCAGUUUCUGUGGGCAACAAGACACAGUGCCACAUCACACCGUGCACACUUCCAAAUAGUGCACUUCUUGCAGAGUACGCAGGGCUGUCGUUGCUGUGUCUGCUGACCUCAGUCUCUCAAAUGAGGAACUUCCCUCCUCCUCCUCACCACCAUCAUGAUCAUCCACACAGGCCAGUGACUCAGGUAAGCACUGUGGCACUCUGGGUGGCACAUCACUGCCUUUAGGGACUCCACACAGCUCUGCAGACUCCUCCAUGAACUGGCUGUGAGACAUGGGCACCGUGUCUGAUGUCUGACACAUUUCUUUGUGCAAAAUGUAGCUGUUGGUUGCAGCAAUGUCAAUGAAGUGGUACAGAAGUGUCCUGUACCAUCUGUUGGACCUUUUGUGCACUGAGUAGUACUGGAGAAGCUGGUCAGAAAGAUCUACCCCGCCCAUGUAUCUGUUGUAGUCAACCACACAGCGAGGUGCUGUGAUGCUUUUUUUCUGCCACCUCUCGUUUUCCUUGCUGUGCAUGUUUCUGGUGACAGUGUCUCCAUCAAAAGCUUGGUGUAUGGUGGAGCACACUGACACUUCUCUCGUGUCCAUCCAUUUCACGAACAACAGUUCUUAAUGUCUGAUCCAUCGGAUUGAACCCCUGGGGCUCUGUGAUGUCAGGACAUUGUUCUUUGUUUUGGGUACAUUCUUGCGUGAAUCACGGAACGUACCACAUGCUACAAAGCCAUUGGCAUACAAGUCUUCAAAAAGCUUUGGACUUGUAUAGAAAUGAUCAACAUAUAAGUGAUAACCUCUGCCCAAGAAUGAUGGAUCCAUGAGGCCGCUGAUGACAUCAAGUGAGAGACCCUGCCCUGAAAUGAAACGGUCUUUCCAGUGUAAAUGGAAAAAUCGCAGGUGUACCCAUUGCUAGAGUCCGCAAGCACAAACAGCUUCACACCCCACUUUGUUGGCUUGGCAGGAAGAAUUUUGUGCCCUCUGCUGGUGUUCCGGACCCUCCUGUAGACAUCCUUCAGCCCCAGUUUCUGCAGGAAGCAUACUGAUCUAACACUUGAUGGCUGCUCUGUUAAAGUCUUCGUCGUCAGUUAGGAACCUGGGUGUGCUCUUUGAUACCAAUCUUUCAUUUGAAGGCCAUGUUUCUAGCAUCUGUAAAACCGCAUUCUUCCAUCUUAGAAAUAUAUCUAAACUACGACAUAUGCUCUCAAUGACAAAUGCAGAACAGUUAGUUCAUGCGUUCAUGACCUCAAGGCUAGAUUACUGUAACGCUCUACUGGGUGGUUGUUCUGCUCGCCUGAUAAAUAAACUACAGCUCGUACAAAAUGCAGCAGCUAGAGUUCUUACUAGAACCAGGAAGUAUGACCAUAUUAGCCCAGUUCUGUCAACACUGCAUUGGCUUCCUGUUAAACAUCGUAUAGAUUUUAAAAUCUUGCUAAUUACUUACAAAGCACUAAAUGGUUUAGCUCCCCAGUACCUGAGCGAGCUCCUAAUUCAUUAUAGUCCUUCACGUCUAUUGCGAUCUCAGAAUUCAGGCCAGCUGAUAAUACCUAGAAUAUCAAAAUCAACUGCAGGUGGUAGAUCCUUCUCCUAUUUGGCACCUAAACUCUGGAACAAUCUUCCUAGCAUUGUUCGGGAAGCAGACACACUCUGUCAGUUUAAAUCUAGACUAAAAACGCAUCUCUUUAACCUGGCAUACACAUAACACAUUACCAAUUUAUAUUUUCAAAUCCGUUAAAGGAUUAUUAGGCUGCAUAAAUUAGGUCAGCCGGAACCGGGAACACUUCCUAUAACACCUGAUGUACUCGUUACAUCAGAAGAAGAAUGGCAUCUACGCUAAUAUUAGUCUUUCUGUUUAUCCCGAGGUUCACCGUAGUCAACCGGAUCCGGGCCGUAUCCAGGUGAGACCAAGGACCUGCACCUUGACACGACCACAACGCAGCCCUGAAGUGUCAGCAGAGAUUGAGUCAACUAGAUCAUCCAUUGUGAGGGCCUCAUCGACACGACAGCCACGACACAGUUCCUCAACAACCGUCCAUACUGGCGUGAUCCUCAAUACGAUCCUCAAUUGGAUGGAACUGAAAUAAAUACUUUUAAUGUUGCGAUCCUAUUGGACUUAUGAUAGCAACCUGAAUUGUAACAAAGCACUGUUGGCCAGAGGAGAACUGGCACCCCGACUAAGCCUGGUUUCUCCCAAGGUUUUUUUUCUCCAUUUUAACACCAAUUUGCCACUUAAUGUCACCUGAUGGAGUUUGGGUUCCUUGCCGCUGUCGCCUCUGGCUUGCUUAGUUGGGGACACUUGACAUUUGACUUGACAUUUGAUAUUCAACAGUGCUUUGAUCUGCCUGCAUUGACACUAUUCUUUAAGAGCUGCUGUGCAGCCAAACAAUGUACCAGUUAUCAAUGUAAAGCUGCUUUGACACAAUCUACAUUGUAAAAAGCGCUAUAUAAAUAAAGGUGACUUGACUUGA